AGAGGAGGAGGAGGAGGAGGAGAAAACAUGGAAUCAUUGAAGAGUAGGUAGUAAAAAGCCUGUUUUAGAUAUUUAAUUGAUUAGUUAAUUACAUAUUUCGUCAGCCAUUUGAUUAACCUGCGAAACAGACUAAAACACUCUUGCACGGACGCACUUGUACUCUCCUUUCACCCCUGACGCAGCGAAGUAACAACGAAUGUGAUGUGUGAAUGUCGUUGAUCGUCUGCGCAUUAACUACUGCCGGGGAGUUUGUUCCAGAAACGGAUGACCUCGAAAAAUUACUCUUGCAGACCUGGAGUUUUUCUGCUUCUGGGGUUCGUUUGGGGUUCUAUAAGCUUGGAGCGAUCGACAUUACUAAACUUCAAUAUUUAAUUUAAGACGUAUCGAAUCCACCCUGAGCCGUCUUUUUUUUUUUACAGCUAAAGAGACAGUUCAAGGGCGUAACGAAAAAUAUAAAAAAAAGCCCGCUACUUACUGCUCCUGAAUAGAGGUCAAAGGAGUGUCCAAAAAGAGAGGUGAGGAGUCUAACGUAAAGAAGUUGUUUGAGUCGUUUUUUAUAAGGUUAAGUCCUUAAUGAAGGUACUCUAUUGAGCAAAUCAGCGUCCGACUUUUAAGGAACCAGGAUAGCGCUCGGUAUUCCAGGGGAGAUCUCACCCGUGUGUUAUACAAAAGCAACUUCACUCCCAGCGUCUUACACUCGAAGUUCCUCGCUAUGAACCCGAGGAUAGUAGGAGGAGGAGAGGAGAAAGAGGAGGAGGAGGAGGAGAUAUUAUUACGGAGGUUCUUUUUCAUGUUGGCGGAGUUUGAGGACGAAGACGAGGAAAAGGACGAGUAAGUAAGUAAGUAAGUAAGUAAGUAAGAAGGAGGAGGAGGAGGAGGAGGAGGUAGUAGUAUUACGGAGGGUUUUUUUCAUGUUGGCGGAGUUUGAGGAUUAUGUGGGUACGAGAAGGAGACGCAAAAAAGGAGAGCAAGGGAGAGGAGGACGAAGAAGAUAGGAGUGAAUGGAAAAGUAGAACACAUGGAGAAAAGAAACUGGAGAUGCGUAGGAAGAAAGAGCAAAGGAGAAAGAUCAGAGAGAAGGAAGAACAGAGAAAGGAGAGGACGAAGCAAAACGAAGACAUAGCAAAACGGAAGAAGGGAGGAAAGAGCAAAGGAGAAAAAUCAGAGAGAAGGAAGAACAGAGAAAGGAGAGGAAGAGGCAAAAUGAAGACAUAGCAAAACGGAAGAAAGGAGGAAUGAAAAGGGAGCAGCGACAAAGACCCAGAAAGAAAGAAAGAAAGAAAGAAAGAAAACAAGUGGAUUUGGGCGUGGAUGAGUGAAGCUGAGAUGAGGAAAGAGAAGGAACGGAGAUAAGAUAAAGGAGAAAGAGAACGAAGAAUUGGAGGAAGAUAGGACGAUUUGGGCACGGAUGAGACGAAGAGAAGGAAAGGAAAAGACAUAAAAACGAAGGCGUGGAUAAAGAAGAGGCGGAGGAAGAGGUAAAGUAGAAAAAGAAAAGGAUGGGGUAAAGAACAAGACGAAGUAAAGAAAGAAAAAUAGAAGUUGAAAAUGAAAGAAAAGGAAGGAAAAAGAAUAUUAAAGUGGAGGAGGAGAAAGAAGAGAAGAAGGUAAGGAGUAACACAAAGGAAGAAAGAAGAAGAGAAAGAAAAGUAAGAAAGAAUAAAAGGAACAGCAAGGAAGAGAAGGAGAAGGAACAGUAAGGAAGCAGAGAAAAGGGAGGAAAGAAGUAGGACAAAAUUAAGGAAGAAAAGUUUAAGAGAAAUAAAGGUUAAGAAAAAGAAACAUUAAGGAAGAGGAGGAGAAGAAAAAGAAAAAGAAAAUAAUGGGGACAAAGUAAUGGAAGAAAAUGCAGCUUAAAAAGAAUGAAAAGAAACACUAACGAGGAGGAGGAAGUGGAAGAAGAAGAAGAAGAGGAGGAGGAGGAGGAAGAAAAGUGGUUAAACUAUGCCUGGCGGAGGUGGGGCGCGGGGCGUGGCAGGGAGGAAGGCGUGAAGGCGAAGCGAAACUACUGCAGGUAAUAUUGGUAGAUUUUCACUGUGCCUGGAGGAAGGACUCGCUAACUGGCUGACUGGCAAUGAACGGAGCCUUGAUGCUGGUGCCGUUACAUCGCUGUGCUGAGCCUCCGUGCUUCAGAGGCCAAAGAGUGGAAAGAGAAGGAAAGGAAAAGACAUAAGGAUAAGAAUGAGGAAGAAAAAGAGAUGGCGAAGGAUGAGGUACAGAGGAAAAGAAAAGGGAGAGAGGGGAGGAAGGAACAAGUUACAGAAAAAGAGGAAAAAGGAGAGGUGAACAUGCACACUCGGUUGGGAUAAGCGAAUUGGCGGAAAGAAAAACACUGAAUUACUUCCCAGAAUAAAAAUCCAGGGAGUUCGUAAGAAAGAAAAGAGAAUAUCAGAACGAAAGGAGAACAGAGAGAAGUGUCGUAGGAAAGAGGCAAGGAGGAAGCAGAACGAAGAGAGAACAAAAGGGGUUAAGUAAGGUUGGGAAAGUUUGUAAUGCAAGGUGAGACAGAGAAUGUGUGAGGAUGUAAAAAUUAGGAUAGAUAUGCCAGGCGAAAGAAAGUUGAAGGAUGCUGGGAAGGAAACAGAGAUAGAUAGUAUAUGGCUGUCCAUCAUCAGGGCAGACUAAGUAAGAUUGGGAAAGUUUGUAAUAGAGGGUGAGACUAAGAAUGUGUUAGAAUGUAAAAAUUAGGAUAAAUAAGUAAGGCGAAAGAAAGCUGAAGGAUGCUGGGAAGGAAACAGUACAUCAUCAGGGCAGACUAAGUAAGGUUGGGAAAGUUUGUAAUAGAGGGUGAGACUAAGAAUGUGUUAGUUUGUAAAAGUAGGGCUAUAGAAGACAAAGAAAAGCUGAACUACACACACACACACACACACCAAAGAAACGAGGAAGAUAGCAAAAGGUUAUACAGUGUUGAGCAACGUAAGGUUCAAAAAGUUUCUAAUUAUUAACACGACGCUGCAAGGACCGUGUAAGGAUGUAGAAGCAAGGAUAUAUAAAACGAAGAAAACCCGAAGAACAUGCAUGGGGGAAAGUCAAGGGAGAUUGUAAAAUGCUGCACGAUAUUAGGGCAGACUUAAGUAAGGUUGUGAAGUUUGCAAUACACGGCUCCGAAGGGACUGUGAGGCCAUAAAAGAUGUGUUGGUUUGAAGUAUUGUGAGAUAUAUUCAAUACGAGAGAGAGAGAGAGAGAGAGAGAGAGAGAGAGAGAGAGAGAGAGAGAGAGAGAGAGAGAGAGAGAGAGAGAGAGAGAGAGAGAGAGAGAGAGAGAGAGAGAGAUGAAAGAAAAGAUGGCAAACUAAUACAUUCUACCUGUUUACUUUGAAGACUUUUAUAAUGAACUGGAAAAAAAUAUAUAAAUGUACAAAACAGCAAAAAAAAAGUAAAUAAAUAAAUAAGAUGAACGGAUUGAAAGAUUCUACAUGUUUAGUUUGAAGACUGAUAAGUUGAAAAGAAGAAAAACUACAGAAAAGAUGAAAAGUAAAAAAAAAAGACACAGAGAGAGAGAGAGAGAGAGAGAGAGAGAGAGAGAGAGAGAGAGAGAGAGAGAGAGAGAGAUUUAGUCAUGUACACUUGAGUUUUAUCGCUGCUAACUAUAUAUAUUAUCGUGGUUUAGGAAGGCCAUUACAGCUGGAAGAGGCCGAGUUAGUAGUGGAGAAACUGCACAAUAGUUUUAAAUAGAUGAAAAAUUUGAGAAGAGAUGAAGACAGAUCGUGCAUUCAGUAACAUGCCGUAAGAAAGCAAUGUAGGAGGUUGUGUUAGUUAAAUUAGACCAUGAAUUAUAUACUUUUUACACUAAGCGAGGCGGACAGGAGCACGACUAAAACUAAAAUAAAUAAAAAAAAUCAUAACACUGUCCAGACAAAACAAUAAACACAAAAAAGUAACAUAUAGUCAAAUAAAAUUGUAGUAGUGACCCAAAAUAGAUUACAAUAGAAAACGCUUUUGAAUAAUAUCGAAUAAACAAAACGAAAGAGUGAUGAUAGUAAUCAAAAUAAUAAUAAAUAUAAAACGAGAUUGAGGGAGCGAAUUCGUACACACUUAGACAUUAUACAAACCAAAGAGAAUAAUAUUGAAUGCGAAAUAGAACAGGGGCGAGCAGCGUUUCCACAAUGAGGGCCAGACGAGUCUUUCGGAAGCAGGCCGCGGCCCCGGAGUGAAAAACGAGAACCCAAAAGUUUAAAAAAAAAAAAUGUGAAAAUGAAAAACAUCCAGAUCAGUGAGACAGUUGGUGCUGCUUGCCAUGAAGUGUUUCAAUGUCCGACUCGGUGGAUGGGUAGGCAACAGAAUAAUGCCAUUGAGGUGGAGGUCUGAGAGUUGGAAGCAAAGUCGAGACUUCGUGUCCUUCAUUUUGGAGAAGAGCAGCUCACAACAGUAGAUGCAGCAAGGCAAGGAAAAUACUCAAACUUAACAUCAGACAACUGAUCACAUCUAAACCUCAACCUCGAAGGCAUUGAUGUGUGCGUGCAUGUCUGUCAGGAGAAUGUCCUUGCCUUGCAGCAUCGCAUUAACAACGUUCAGAUGCGCAGUGAUGUCCGUGAGGAGCCACAGCCAAGCGAGCCAUUGCGGGUGACAGUGAUCAGCGUGGGGAAGAUUCUCCUGACGGAGGAAAGUGGCAUCUCCUGCCGCAGGUCGCACACACGGGACAGCAUGGCCACACGACUAGACACUUUCAGCCUUUUGUAUUUGAAUUAAAUAGGACAACCAGAUCACACAAAAAAGACACACUGUCUUUAAAAGGACGGACCUGGCAACUCUCGCAGAGUGAGGUGAGGAGCGCAGGCUGCCAGCAGAUGCUGUUUGUGCAAUGUUAAUGCCUAGCAGGGUGGCCACCCGGACGCUAGGCCUUCAUGGGCCGGAUAUGGCCUGCGAGCCGGAGGUUGCCCGCAACAGAAAUAGACGGUAAUAACAAUAAUAGAUAAAAAAUAAAUGAGAAUGUGGAAGCAAAAUAGCACAUACUGAAUCCUUAUACAAAUCAAAGAUAAAUCUUAACAUUACAAUCAAUCGCUUGUAGCACCAAAACCUACUCCCGGAAAGAGACAACGUACUACAUCAACGUAAGGUAUUCUCGUAACACAACACCACCCUAAUGCAAUGCUAUCAUGCAAGAAACGUAACGUAACACCACUUCGCUAAGCUGAAAUAUCCUCGCUAAACUUCUUAAAACUUAUUCAAACAAGCCGCGUUAAUCCGAAGCAAGGCGGAAGGCUAGACACACCGAAAGCGGAUUACGAAGGCGCCUUGCGAGACCAGAAGCUGAUUGGUGGACUUCGAAGUGUGAUCAGAUGCCGAAGCGAGACUGAAGAUAGAGGAGAAAGAAAGGAAGAAUAAAGAAAGGAGUGAUGGAAGGGAGAAAGAAAGAAAAAAAGAAAAGGAAAAAAUAGAAAGAAACAAGGAAAGAAAGAAUGAAAGGAAAGAAGCAAAGAAAACGAAAGAUAAGAAAGAAAUAAAGAAAAAAUAAAAGAACGCGCAAAGUUACUGUACCCAAGACUAAAUAAAGUAAAGAGAGAAAAAGAAAAAAGAGAAAGAAAGAAAACGGAAGGAAGGAGGAAAGACAAA